rnacentral:misc_RNA from 1 species
GGACAUAUGAAAAGCAGUAUCCUUGGGUGUAUCUUUCUCCACUGCGCAUUUGUCCACGAUGGCUGUAACUUCUCCCUCGUCAUCCAAAAUCUCGCCUAAUAACUUUUUGGCGGCUUCCUCAUCUAUUUUACCGUCUUCUGUCAUGCUCCCUAGCUUCUUGUUAAAACAAAGCAUGUGGUCUUUUAGCUUGUCAUCAGCCUCGUCGAACUCCCCGUUCCAUGUUUUCUCUACGGCCUCUUUGGAGGCACCACUUGCAGAAAGACAUUCAUCACUCACUUUGCGAAACUUUUCCUCAUGUUCAUCGGGCAGAGCAGGCUUAGCACUAAUGGUCAUUAGCACCGAGCAAACGCAGAGUGUAAACAGAAAC